GGUGACGUAGCUCAGUCGGUAGAGCAAGGAGCUCAUAAUUCCUGGGUCCCCAGUUCAAGUCUGGGCGUCACCA
rnacentral:tRNA from 1 species